rnacentral:rRNA from 1 species
ACGAACGCUGGCGGCGUGCUUAACACAUGCAAGUCGAGCGGUAAGGCCCUUUCGGGGGUACACGAGCGGCGAACGGGUGAGUAACACGUGGGUGACCUGCCCUCAGCUCUGGGAUAAGCCUGGGAAACCGGGUCUAAUACUGGAUAUGACUCCAUGACGCAUGUUGUGGGGUGGAAAGCCUUGUGCGGCUGAGGAUGGGCCCGCGGCCUAUCAGCUUGUUGGUGGGGUGAUGGCCUACCAAGGCGACGACGGGUAGCCGGCCUGAGAGGGCGACCGGCCACACUGGGACUGAGACACGGCCCAGACUCCUACGGGAGGCAGCAGUGGGGAAUCUUGCGCAAUGGGCGAAAGCCUGACGCAGCGACGCCGCGUGAGGGAUGACGGCC